rnacentral:rRNA from 1 species
UACGUAGGGACCGAGCGUUGUCCGGAAUCAUUGGGCGUAAAGAGCGUGUAGGCGGCCACUUAAGUCCUGCGUGAAAUCUUGCGGCUCAACCGCAAGCGGUCGUGGGAAACUGGGUGGCUAGGAGUGCGGGAGAGGAGAGUGGAAUUCCUGGUGUAGCGGUGGAAUGCGCAGAUAUCAGGAAGAACACCCGUGGCGAAGGCGGCUCUCUGGGACGGUACUGACGCUGAGACGCGAAAGCGUGGGGAGCGAACAGG